CUUCGGGUGAAGGUGGCGGACGGGUGAGUAACGCGUAAAGAACUUGCCUUACAGACUGGGACAACAUUUGGAAACGAAUGCUAAUACCGGAUAUUAUGAUUGGGUCCCAUGAUCUGAUUAUGAAAGCUAUAUGCGCUGUGAGAGAGCUUUGCGUCCCAUUAGUUAGUUGGUGAGGUAACGGCUCACCAAGACGAUGAUGGGUAGCCGGCCUGAGAGGGUGAACGGCCACAAGGGGACUGAGACACGGCCCUUACUCCUACGGGAGGCAGCAGUGGGGAAUAUUGGACAAUGGACCAAAAGUCUGAUCCAGCAAUUCUGUGUGCACGAAGAAGUUUUUCGGAAUGUAAAGUGCUUUCAGUUGGGAAGAAGUCAGUGACGGUACCAACAGAAGAAGCGACGGCUAAAUACGUGCCAGCAGCCGCGGUAAUACGUAUGUCGCAAGCGUUAUCCGGAUUUAUUGGGCGUAAAGCGCGUCUAGGCGGCUUAGUAAGUCUGAUGUGAAAAUGCGGGGCUCAACCCCGUAUUGCGUUGGAAACUGCUAAACUAGAGUACUGGAGAGGUAGGCGGAACUACAAGUGUAGAGGUGAAAUUCGUAGAUAUUUGUAGGAAUGCCGAUGGGGAAGCCAGCCUACUGGACAGAUACU
rnacentral:rRNA from 1 species